UGUGUGUGUGUGCGUGCGCGACGAGUAUAAGUGCGCGUGCGUUCCGUCGAAGAACGAUGCUGCUUUAGGAGG
ensembl:ncRNA F58A3.6 ncRNA